GGAGGGAUAUUCUUGGUAUAAAUCAAUGCAAGUUGUAUCUAAAAAAUAAGAUAAAAUAAUACUUUUCUGACUGUGUGAGUAUUACUGAUGUCUCAUUCAUGGUUUCCAGGGUAAGUCCGGUUUGCCAGGUAAUUAUGGAGACAAAGGAUCGGAGGGACCACGAGGACAUCCCGGGAUACCAGGUCUCGACGGGUUCCCCGGACAGUCGGGUGAAAAGGGAGACAAAGGACUGAGAGGAGAUUUGGGUCUGCCAGGGCGAGAUGGCGGGCCACCUGGACCUCCAGGGCCUCCCGGACCUCCAGGACAAGUCACCCACCAGACAAGCGAUGUGAGUCCGUCGUUAACGUGGAGAUUAAAUAUCAAAUUAACUGAAGCCUCACAUGAACGCCUGCCUUUUCAUAAAGUUACUCAUAUUUUACUAACAGUCACUGCCUGCUGAGUUGUGUGUUCACCUCCACACUAACUAACUUUGUCUUGCUGUAGUCUAAUGAAGUAUAUUGGAACGAAGGGUGGCAGGUGAGUGUCCCCUAACCGCACUAAAGUUACUUUAACACGUUUGCUGUGUAUUUGUUUGUUUGCGUCACGUGUCCUCGCUCUCUCUUCUUUAGGGAGGAGUCAGUAUUCCGGGUCGAGCAGGAUUCCCAGUAUGUAUCUCUGUCAUUAUCACGCAGUUUGGAAAAGUCCAAUCAAUGUAUGUGAAAAUGUAUUAAAGUGUAUUAAAUGUUUUCGUUUAGGGGCCCUCUGGACCAAAAGGCGAAAGGGGAGACUCAGGUCUUCCAGGAUAUGCAGCUAAAGUAAGAUAAUCCACUUUUUAUUUCAUUAAUUCAGCGUUGAAUUUUCUUUUUUGUUGCAACAUCGUACACUGCAAAGACAGAUUUGUCCUAUUGCAGUUGUAUUUACAUAAAACAGCCAUGCAUGAACAGCCAUGUUAAGAAAAUUACCUUUCAUU
rnacentral:lncRNA from 1 species